GACGAACGCUGGCGGCGUGCCUAAUACAUGCAAGUCGAACGAGAGCGACCGGUGCUUUCACUGUUCAAUCUAGUGGCGAACGGGUGAGUAACACGUGGGUAACCUGCCCAUCAGAGGGGGAUAACAUUCGGAAACGGGUGCUAAAACCGCAUAGGUCUUCGAACCGCAUGGUUUGAAGAGGAAAAGAGGCGCAAGCUUCUGCUGAUGGAUGGACCCGCGGUGCAUUAGCUAGUUGGUGAGGUAACGGCUCACCAAGGCCGUGAUGCAUAGCCGACCUGAGAGGGUGAUCGGCCACAUUGGGACUGAGACACGGCCCAAACUCCUACGGGAGGCAGCAGUAGGGAAUCUUCCGCAAUGGACGCAAGUCUGACGGAGCAACGCCGCGUGAGUGAAGAAGGUUUUCGGAUCGUAAAACUCUGUUGUUAGAGAAGAAUAAGUGCUAGAGUAACUGUUAGCGCCUUGACGGUAUCUAACCAGAAAGCCACGGCUAACUACGUG
rnacentral:rRNA from 1 species